rnacentral:misc_RNA from 1 species
UUGCUUUAUUACCUACAGUUAUCAGCAUAGAGGUUACCAGAAUGGAUUAACGCCGCACCGCGCCGAUAGCUGUGCAAGUUUUAUUCAUUUUCCAGCCUGGUCAGAUUUAACAUCAAUACUCUUUCCUAAGAUUUUCUUAAUCCAAACAAAACUUUUAAUGACAAAAUGAUGACAAGAAUAAUGCACAAUCGUUUUUGUUUUUAAUGGCUUUUGACUGUCAAUUUUGAUAGUUUGUUUUUAAGUUUUUAUGAUAUAUUUACAAUUUUAUUUAAUAGUUUAAUAUGGCUAAGUUUUUAUUUAGUACGAUUAAUCUACAAUGCUCGUUAUAAAAAUAUAAUGUAAUCCAUCAAAUGCCUGAAGAGAUAUUCGUCAUAUGAGAGCAUGGAUUUGCAUAGAUUGCGAGUGGUGGAGUUCGAUACGUUAGUAAGUGAACAAAAAGGCGAUAAUAAGUAUAUUCCUGAACUUGAAGAACCUGUAGAAGAAGACUGUAAAAAAAGCGCCGUUGAUAAUACAGACGAAACAAAUGAAACUGAUAGCACCAUAAAAGGCUUGGCUGAAGCCAAUAGUCCUACCGAACCAUCGAAAUUAUGUCAAGGUGAUGUCAAGAACUCGCCAAGCACGUCCAAAAAAUAUAUUGGUGUUACCAAUAUCCCGAUAGUCGCAACCGCAAAUUGUGCAGGAGACACAUUAAGCCCUCUAAGAAUAACAUCGAAUAAAUAUAAGCGUGAACAAAAUAAACAAUCGGGGACACCAAUCAAGUUUCUAGGUAACAGAUUAAGCAGACCAAGAACAUCAAAAAAAAAUCUUGGUUCCUAUCUGGGUCUGCCAGGUACAUCUAAACAAUGUGCUGUUGACAGCACAAGUGUGCCUGGAACAUCAAAAAAUUCAAGUUCUUCCAUCAGUCGUAAAUCAAAAAGCGAAAUAUUUAAAAUUCCUUCAAAAUAUAAAUGGAAAAACCGUGAACACAAAUAUAAUUUGAGUGUUGUUGAUAUAACGAAACAGUUCCAUGAAAGUGCACACACGCGGCAGAAGAGACGACCCCUUAAUUUGUUCAACAGAAAAUCUAGGUGUGAUCAACAUGUAGGAGCUGUACACGCAAAGAACGAAGAAGUCAAUUUUGUGUUUGUGCGUGAUACUCCUAGUUUUAUUAAGUACUGUAAAAGAAGAGCAGAGAAACAUGAUAAGGGGAAAAAAAGAAAAAGAGAUACCAAAUUACCAAGUGACAUCUUUGGUUUCCAGAAAAAAACCCGAUACUUCGAUCCAUAUCUGUAUCAAAUGUCUUGCCAUCCAUUCAAAAAGUUGCGAAAAGGAUUUCACCGAAAGCCUAAAGAACCUGUGUGUCUUCCGGACUGUCUUUGUAAGCAUCACACAGUGAAAGUACUUAAUUCAGGCGGACAAGGCGAGCCGGCAUCGUCCCUUUAUUAUAAUAUACACAGUCCCCAUCUACAUAAACCUCACCGCAGGCGUCGCUAUGAUGAAGACGAAUCAUUCCAGAGAGACCGUGUUUGGUUUAAGGGCAAGGAUGUUACUGUAGGUGUUUCCCCUUCGUCGUUAACUCCGUUAAUAAGAUGCCGUUGCGAUGCCCGUAUAGGCCCUAGCAAAGCGGAGGUUGCAAACCUUUCGAGUGCCACCCCCGGGCCGCGCAGCCCAGCCCACCCGUCCGAUACCCCGGGACCCCUCGGUUCUGGCGAAGCUCCGUCAGCACCGUCAAAGCCAAAAGGCAAAGGGAGUAAGACAAAGAAGCCAUACCCCCAACACAGCACGCCAAGCCCGAGUACCGCAGGACCUUCUCCGGCAUCAACCAAGCGACACCCGGUCGCUCCUAUAAAGAAAGGUAAAAAAGUUAAAAAAAAAAAUGUCGAUGCUUGCAAGGAACGUAAAAAAAUAAUAUCAGAUCAUUGGAAGAAAUUUCUUUCUAAAUUUAAAAAAAUUAAAAAACUUAAAACAGUGAAUAAAAAAGAAACAGGAAAAAAGGCUUUAAAAUAUAUAUUUUUUGGACUAUUGAUUAUGGCGUGGUCUCCAUGUCUGCUGGCGGUAAUUUUGGUAUGGGCAAUAUCGUGUCCUAUAAAGAUGACAACCUUAGUCAAAGCUGAUUAUGGUGUAUCUUCAAAAAAAUCUAUCCCAUUGAUACAUUCAUUCCUGAAUCGAUUUCGCAAGAGAGGCACAGAAAGUGAAUACCAAAGAAUGUGUUUUGAAAAUGGUAUACCUACUACUAGGAGCUUUGUGACUUCAGUAGCAAGUUGGUAUGCACGUGCCGUCGGAACUGUUAUGAACUCUUUUAAUGCCAUGAUGUCUAUGCUGAAACUUAAAAACGUUCCAACACGCGCUGCCUCUUCGUUUUUGCCAUCCAAUCAUCCGAACCCGAGGAAGAAGUACACUAUGUGCUAUGCGGACAAUAGAGGAUGGAUGAUGAAACCACCACGACGCAGCAAUUCACGGUCUUAUGCCAGCACUCGGGUAGUUCAACAUAUGCGAUGCGAAUGUAACCCUACUUUUUGGGUCAAAACAGGCCCUAGAAAAAAUGACAUUAGGAAAAGUACAUGUCAAAAUAUAAUUCAUGAAUGUCCGGUUCAUGGAAGUCAAUGCAUUCCCAAUUUUGGAAAGGCUGAGUCUUCGCCAGCAGGUGAUGCCGGCCCGGUUACUUGUGGGGAUAAAUGUACUCGAAAACAGGAUUAUCGUCCACAACACCAACAGCAGGUAAAACACUAAACAUGUCGACAAAAUACACUCCCAGCUUAAUAGUAAAAGGCUUGCACGAGCAUCUUACUAAAUAUUGGAGCAAGCAUGAAGCAAGAAAUACUGCGUAACGCACCGAGACACGGACGCAUUGCUGGUGAUGGAGUACGACCACAAUAUCCAGACUUUAAUAAGGUAUUAAUGCGCUAUCCUGGCCAAAAUUUUGGACGUAAUCGAUCAGAACGUAUUGCUCCUGCCAAAAAUUA